AAACCCUAGUAUAAAAUGCUCUCACCCUCAUUCUUGGGAAGCCACCCACACAACUCUAAAAGUAAAACCUUUCAGCACAUAACAAGAACCCUAAGAGAGAACCCUUCUUCUUCACCCCCUCCCACAAAAAACCAGCCGCAACGCAUACGGACAUAAGGAAAAGAAAGGGGGAAUCGAGGGGAAGGACAAUACCAUGAUGAAAUUUCAAUCAAGCCAACAAUAGAAAGACCAAUUUUACCAUUUGCACUCAUUUCCUGAUUUUUGAUAUAACACAUAAUCUAGCUUGAUUUGGGAAAGCAGUCCAUUCUUUCUAGUUCGAAAAUACAAAAAGAAUUCUAUUUCUUCUUUUUCAAUUCUUGGAUUGUGGGAUUUCAAAGCGUGGAGCCCGAUUGAUCUGGGGUGCCGAUUCGAUGUUUAUUCGCGGUCCAGUUCAUUUUUGAGUCUUAGAGUUGUCGAAUAGUCACGUUCAAACUCGUGAUUUGAGGUAUGGAUCCAUAAACCAGGACUCGAGCAUGAUAGAUACUCCAGGACCACGGAGCUUCUUGAGGAGCCUUUUUAUGUUUUUGAGUCUAUUGUUCAUAUUUUACUUUCUAGUCAUGUACAGUAGGAUUCAAUCAUUUAGUUGGUGUCAGAUUUGUCGUAGUGUAGUUUAGUUUGCCGAGUCUCUCAUUAUCAUACCUCAUAUUUGUAUUUGAAAAGCCAAAAAAAGUUAUAAAUGAAAAAUCCAAAAAGAUUUUUGUUUCUUUACU